rnacentral:miRNA from 1 species
UGUGGGACUCCUCAGCAGUGU